CAACCUAAGAGUUUGAUCCUGGCUCGAACGCUGGCGGCAGGCCUAACACAUGCAAGUCGAAGGAGAAGUUCCUUUUCGGAGGGAUGGACACUGGCGCACGGGUGAGUAACGCGUGGGAAUCUACCCCGGGGUGGGGAAUAACCGCUGGAAACGGCGGCUAAUACCGCAUACGCCUCAAGAGGGAAAGCUUUAGCGCCCUGGGAUGAGCCCGCGUUAGAUUAGGUUGUUGGUGGGGUAAUGGCCUACCAAGCCUACGAUCUAUAGCUGGU
rnacentral:rRNA from 1 species